AUUGAACGCUGGCGGCAGGCCUAACACAUGCAAGUCGAGCGGAUGAAGGGAGCUUGCUCCUGGAUUCAGCGGCGGACGGGUGAGUAAUGCCUAGGAAUCUGCCUGGUAGUGGGGGAUAACGUCCGGAAACGGGCGCUAAUACCGCAUACGACCUGAAGGAGAAAGUGGGGGAUCUUCGGACCUCACGCUAUCAGAUGAGCCUAGGUCGGAUUAGCUAGUUGGUGGGGUAAAGGCCUACCAAGGCGACGAUCCGUAACUGGUCUGAGAGGAUGAUCAGUCACACUGGAACUGAGACACGGUCCAGACUCCUACGGGAGGCAGCAGUGGGGAAUAUUGGACAAUGGGCGAAAGCCUGAUCCAGCCAUGCCGCGUGUGUGAAGAAGGUCUUCGGAUUGUAAAGCACUUUAAGUUGGGAGGAAGGGCAGUAAGUUAAUACCUUGCUGUUUUGACGUUACCAACAGAAUAAGCACCGGCUAACUUCGUG
rnacentral:rRNA from 1 species